AUUGAACGCUGGCGGCAUGCCUUACACAUGCAAGUCGAACGGUAACGCGGGGCAACCUGGCGACGAGUGGCGAACGGGUGAGUAAUGCAUCGGAACGUACCCAGUAGUGGGGGAGUAGCCCGGCGAAAGCCGGAUUAAUACCGCAUACGACCUAAGGGUGAAAGCGGGGGACCGGUAAGGCCUCGCGCUAUUGGAGCGGCCGAUGUCAGAUUAGGUAGUUGGUGGGGUAAAGGGCCUACCAAGCCUUCGAUCUGUAGCUGGUCUGAGAGGACGACCAGCCACACUGGGACUGAGACACGGCCCAGACUCCUACGGGAGGCAGCAGUGGGGAAUUUUGGACAAUGGGCGAAAGCCUGAUCCAGCCAUGCCGCGUGCGGGAAGAAGGCC
rnacentral:rRNA from 1 species